AAAACACUUAGAAAAGUGGAAAUCAAGCACUACCUUUAAAUAAAUUUUGUAGCGUUAAUAAAGAGAAGGACAAACGAAGACAAUUAUGAUUAGAACCGGACUUUUUUUGUUGCUUACCAUUGCUUUAUUUGUAAUGGUUGUUGAUAGCGGUUCCCCGAGGCCUAUUAGAAUCCCAAAUAUGUCCCCAGGAACAACGCCGGGGAGGGAUACAAGUAAUGACUGUGGUAAAUAUAGUGAUGGAGCGAUUGUUGCCAUAUCAGUAGAUCCCUGUAUGCGAAAAAAGUGCGAUAGGGGCCAGGUGAUUGAAAUAGGCUGCUGACUUUUUAACUUCCACCUGACUCUGAAUGUAGAAGAGAAAAAGGAAAAGGACCACACCCAAUAUGCUGCGUCUGUUUGUCCGGGUGAUCCAGGAUUUUAAGGAUCAAAUUCUAUUCUGCAAUACCUAAUAUAACAUAAUGGAAUAUUUCCAACAAUCUCCUUUUGGUGUAAAAAAGUUUCUUAAUGUUAAAUAAAUUUUGAAAUUGCACAGGAAUAUUUAUCUACAUAGAACUUAUUAAGCUCAAAUUGUUAAGAACAAAUAAUUUUUUUUCCUGUAAUGGAACAAAAAUGUUUUUAACCCACCUUUAGACACCCAAAACAUAUUUAUGUGUUUAAUUUGAACUCUUAAAUGUGUAUAAAUAAAAUAAAUUUUAUGGUGUA